rnacentral:lncRNA from 1 species
GCACACCCGAGUCCCCCUGCAAAGUACUUGGUGAUCGUCCAGUUAAAUGGGCUGAAACGGCGCAGGCUUGAGGGCUGGACCUUUUAUAAUAGUGCUUGCUUCUGCCUGUCCGAAUCACUGUCCGUGUGCUGGAGUUCCCAGAGCUGAGGGCGAGUUCACUGUGUCUGUCAUCGAAUCAUUUCCAGAACCGCUUGUGGCCACGGCGCCUUCGCUCAGAGGUGCAGGGCUGCCUCUCACCUCCUCUCCCUCCUGGGGUGCCUGUGCUCACCGUCUUGCUGUAAGUGGCUGAAGGGCUUAGUGGAGAAUGCUGAGCUCCCCGCCACACAAGUGUCCGCUGUCCUCACGUUCAUUGCCUACAUGUCAUGACCCUUUCAGACUGGGCUCCUGCAUUUGAAGCCUUGAGGUAAAGGUGAAAAGUAAGAAAAAAAAGCGUCACGGUUGGAAAUAAAAACGUGCAGUGGGGACGGUUUCCAGAGUAAUAAAAAACAGCUUUAAAUUUUAGAAGAUUUUAAGCAGGGUCUGGUUCCAGGCAGCGUGCCCUGAGUUCCCAUCACCCAUCGCGGCUGUGUUCUGAGGCUCAAGACUGCCUUCAGGGGAUUCCGGGAAAGCAGCUGACGGCCUGACACUGACGUGUGAUUGCUCCUGAGGAAAUAAGCCUCCCCAGAGCUCCGGGUUCGCGGCCCUCGCCUCCGCCCUCCACCCGCCCGGCGGAGAGCUGCCCGUCCUCGCCCCCACCCGCUGGUCACCGACUUCCCGGGAAGUUGAGCCCAGAGAGGAGGAAAUGGCCAGUGACAUGGCCAGCAUUUGAACUCAGUUCUCUGCCUCCGACUGUGGUCUCUUGCCUUCACCUCUGCUCUCUCUCAGCCUGCUCUCGCCACGCCCAGGCCCGGGUCUGCGCUCCGGGCAGACGCCAUCCCCCAGUUCCAGAAUGUGUCGCCUCCAGGCCUGCGCUCGGCCCGUUCCUCCGCCCGGAUCGCCGCCCUCCUC